rnacentral:rRNA from 1 species
UGGGGAAUUUUGGACAAUGGGCGAAAGCCUGAUCCAGCAAUGCCGCGUGUGUGAAGAAGGCCUUCGGGUUGUAAAGCACUUUUGUCCGGAAAGAAAUCCUUGGCUCUAAUACAGUCGGGGGAUGACGGUACCGGAAGAAUAAGCACCGGCUAACUACGUGCCAGCAGCCGCGGUAAUACGUAGGGUGCAAGCGUUAAUCGGAAUUACUGGGCGUAAAGCGUGCGCAGGCGGUUUGCUAAGACCGAUGUGAAAUCCCGGGCUCAACCUGGGAACUGCAUUGGUGACUGGCAGGCUAGAGUAUGGCAGAGGGGGGUAGAAUUCCACGUGUAGCAGUGAAAUGCGUAGAGAUGUGGAGGAAUACCGAUGGCGAAGGCAGCCCCCUGGGCCAAUACUGACGCUCAUGCACGAAAGCGUGGGGAGCAAACAGGAUUAGAUACCCUGGUAGUCCAGCGCCCUAAAACGAUGUCAACUAGUUGUUGGGGAUUCAUUUCCUUAGUAACGUAGCUAACGCGUGAAGUUGACCGCCU